GGGCGGAGACAAAUGCGCGCUCCCGAAACACGUAACGCACCCUCCCACCUCGGCAGCAGGAGAGGGAGGUGAAAGGGUAAACCGGUUACCAGUCCAGAUGACAUAAUGACAGUAUUUCAUAAAUUCUACAACAUCUUGAACUCACCUUCAACUCCUAAGCUCUUGCAUCACCAGAGACACAUAACCAACAGAUAAAGGUGGCUCUUAAAGCAGAAGGGAAGGCUUAACUGCCAGGUCCGGAUUUUAAAACUUUGCCCCCUUGGCCAGGCUGCUCCUCACCGCCCACUCACCACCACAACCCCGCCACCGCAGGAGCAAUGUCUUUAAGUUCUUGCCCCCCAAACCAAACCUGUACUUUGAACUAGCAGAAGAAAACAUGGAGCGGCUCUGAGGACUCAGAUUUAACAGAUUUAACAGGUGAGGCAAAUUUAUCGAAAUGUGAGUUAAAAGUUUUACCUUUCACCUAUUAAUAAAUAGGCUUCUAAAAAUCCA